UACGUAGGGGGCAAGCGUUGUCCGGAAUCAUUGGGCGUAAAGAGCGUGUAGGCGGCUCGAUAAGUCCGCUGUGAAAGUCAAGGGCUCAACCCUUGAAAGCCGGCGGAUACUGUCGGGCUAGAGUCCGGAAGAGGCGAGUGGAAUUCCUGGUGUAGCGGUGAAAUGCGCAGAUAUCAGGAGGAACACCUACGGCGAAGGCAGCUCGCUGGGACGGUACUGACGCUGAGACGCGAAAGCGUGGGGAGCAAACAGG
rnacentral:rRNA from 1 species